rnacentral:lncRNA from 1 species
CCUCUUCCACAGCGAGAUGGAGAGGAACCAGAAGGAGAAGAGCGAGGAGCCUUGGGUCGGCCGCCGCAUCCUCGGGGUGGCCUUCGCGGGCGUCGUGGCCGUCGCCGCCGGCGCCUUCGUCAUGCUGUCGAGAAACGGGGACGGUGCAGAGCAGGAGCAGACGGCCGGGAGGACGAUGAAAGGGCCGGACACUAGCGGCGAGAGGAUCUCCCGCGACAAGUUCGAGGAGGACCCCAAGACAUACUUCAAGACCUGUCGCCAGAAGGGGCCCAAGGCCGCCGUUGACGAUUUCAAGUAACUGGCUGACGUCGACGGCUGCUAACAAAGUACAGCUCAUUCCCGCGUAAUAUAGUAGUUUCCAUUCCCUGCAUGAUGGCACGUAUGGUAGUACGGGACUAUGGGUGUUGUAGCACGGUUGAUCAAGGCGAGUGACUAUGACUACCGUCUACGUACCGGACUUUACAAGGCUAGUGUGUAAUAAUCUGUAUUGUAAUAUUGGGUCAAUUGUUCUGCCCAUGGCUGUUGCCAGAGCCUGCCAGGCUCCAACUGAAUGGUGGGACUCUUGGAUUGUUUUGCUUCGUUGGCCAAACAAAACAGC